GACGAACGCUGGCGGCGUGCCUAAUACAUGCAAGUAGAACGCACAGUUUAUACCGUAGCUUGCUACACCAUAGACUGUGAGUUGCGAACGGGUGAGUAACGCGUAGGUAACCUGCCUGGUAGCGGGGGAUAACUAUUGGAAACGAUAGCUAAUACCGCAUAAUAUUAAUUAUUGCAUGAUAAUUAAUUGAAAGGUGCAAUUGCACCACUACCAGAUGGACCUGCGUUGUAUUAGCUAGUAGGUGAGGUAACGGCUCACCUAGGCGACGAUACAUAGCCGACCUGGGAGGGUGAUCCGCCAACCUGGGACUGAGACAAGGCCCAGACUCCUACGGGAGGCAGCAGUAGGGGAACUUCGGAAAUGGACGAAAGUCUGACCGAGCAACGCCGCGUGAGUGAAGAAGGGUUUCGGAUCGUAAAGCUCUGUUGUAAGAGAAGAACGGGUGUGAGAGUGGAAAGUUCACACUGUGACGGUAUCUUAACAGAAAGGGACGGCUAACUACGUG
rnacentral:rRNA from 1 species